rnacentral:rRNA from 1 species
GAUGAACGCUGGCGGCGUGCCUAAUACAUGCAAGUCGAGCGAACGGACGAGAAGCUUGCUUCUCUGAUGUUAGCGGCGGACGGGUGAGUAACACGUGGAUAACCUACCUAUAAGACUGGGAUAACUUCGGGAAACCGGGGCUAAUACCGGAUGAUAUUUUGAACCGCAUGGUUCAAUAGUGAAAGACGGUCUUGCUGUCACUUAUAGAUGGAUCCGCGCUGCAUUAGCUAGUUGGUAAGGUAACGGCUUACCAAGGCAACGAUGCAUAGCCGACCUGAGAGGGUGAUCGGCCACACUGGAACUGAGACACGGUCCAGACUCCUACGGGAGGCAGCAGUAGGGAAUCUUCCGCAAUGGGCGAAAGCCUGACGGAGCAACGCCGCGUGAGUGAUGAAGGUCUUCGGAUCGUAAAACUCUGUUAUUAGGGAAGAACAUAUGUGUAAGUAACUGUGCACAUCUUGACGGUACCUAAUCAGAAAGCCACGGCUAACUACGUG